UGGGGAAUAUUGGACAAUGGGCGGAAGCCUGAUCCAGCAACGCCGCGUGAGGGAUGACGGCCUUCGGGUUGUAAACCUCUUUCAGCACAGACGAAGCGCAAGUGACGGUAUGUGCAGAAGAAGGACCGGCCAACUACGUGCCAGCAGCCGCGGUAAUACGUAGGGUCCGAGCGUUGUCCGGAAUUAUUGGGCGUAAAGGGCUCGUAGGCGGUCUGUUGCGUCGGGAGUGAAAUCCCUGGGCUUAACCCAGGGCCUGCUUUCGAUACGGGCAGACUAGAGGCAUUCAGGGGAGAACGGAAUUCCUGGUGUAGCGGUGAAAUGCGCAGAUAUCAGGAGGAACACCGGUGGCGAAGGCGGUUCUCUGGGAAUGUUCUGACGCUGAGGAGCGAAAGUGUGGGGAGCGAAC
rnacentral:rRNA from 1 species